rnacentral:rRNA from 1 species
UACAGAGGUGACAAACGUUGUCCGGAAUUAUUGGGCGUAAAGGGCGCGUAGGUGGUUGAGUAAGUCAGAUGUGAAAUUCCUGGGCUUAACCUGGGGGCUGCAUUUGAUACGUGUGGGCUUGAGUGGGGAAGAGGGUCGUGGAAUUCCCAGUGUAGAGGUGAAAUUCGUAGAUAUUGGGAAGAACACCGGUGGCGAAGGCGGCGACCUGGUCCUUGACUGACGCUGAGGCGCGAAAGCGUGGGGAGCAAACAGG